rnacentral:lncRNA from 1 species
CGCAGCACUGUGCUAGGCUCGUUCUUACAGUAAUGCGACGAAAGUUGCUACUUGGUUCAUGUUGGCUUGGUGAUGCGCUUACGGUAGGGAGACGUUACUAAGUACCCAGGACACAGUGUUAACAGGACGAGCGCAAACUUCAACUGGUUUUUAUUAUUC